UUGACCUCAAAUCAGGUACGAUACCCGCUGAACUUAAGCAUAUCAAUAAGCGGAGGA
rnacentral:rRNA from 1 species